rnacentral:rRNA from 1 species
UACAGACGGUCCAAACGUUAUUCGGAAUCACCGGGCUUAAAGAGUUCGUAGGCGGUCAGGUAAGUGGGGUGUGAAAGCCCUCGGCUUAACCGAGGAAUUGCGCUCCAAACUCCCUGACUUGAGGAGGCUAGAGGUAAGCGGAACUGAUGGUGGAGCGGUGAAAUGCGUUGAUAUCAUCAGGAACACCGGAGGCGAAGGCGGCUUACUGGGGCCUUUCUGACGCUGAGGAACGAAAGCUAGGGGAGCGAACGGG